CCCCCCAGAGUCAGCGUAGUCCCAGAUCUGCUCUCUGGAGUCCUGGGUGGGAGGAUCUGGGGAUCUAGACAGGGAGGAAGAUACAGAAGAUUGAUUUGGGGAGGCAGAAGAAUUGGUAGAAGCGGUCCCUGGUCACCAGUCUCAGCUUGUUCCUUAGGGUAUGCUCAUCUCUUGGGUGAAAAUCAUUCUGCCACACAUUCCCUUUCAUUCCUCCAGGAGCUGACCUGCACUCCCAGGAUAAUUUAUUUUAAUGAGAACUUCAUUCUCAGUCAUCCUACCAACAGACUCCAGCUAGAAGACAAAGGACUCAGAACUGGACUCUGGCCCUCUCUAAAGCAAAGUGAAGGAAGUGGUAUCCAUCAGAGUGCUGGGAGGAGACACCACCUGCAGAUCGGUAUCAUUCGAAGAGAGUUUAACCUUGUCCAUAAUGUGGAUGGACUGCGGUGGUGCAAUCUUGGCUCCCUGCAACCUCUCCCUCCCGAGAUCAAGCACUUCUCCUGCCUCAGCCUCCCGAGUAGCUGAAACUACAGGCACCUGCUACCAGGCCAGGCUAAGUUUUGUAGUUUUAGUAGAGAUGGGUUUUCAUCAUAUUGGCCAGGCUGGUCUGGAACUCCUGACCUUGUGAUUUACCCUCCUCAGCCUCCCAAAUUGCUGGGAUUAGAGGCGUGAGCCACUAUGCCCAGCCAGUAAGAAC
rnacentral:lncRNA from 1 species